GUGGUUCUUCAGGAAAAGAAUAAGCCAAUCAGCUUUGUUGACAAAGUGAGAUUGAUGCGACAGGUAAGGCCUUCAAUGCCCCUUGACCCUGCAGACAUGAAAGAUUGGAAGGGACAACUAUCCUCCAUUUUCCAAGUGAAGGACAUGCGACGGUUCCAACAAAGCUAUGGCAUUCACCUCCAAAUGGCUCAGCUGGAGCAGAACGUCUGGGACAUGGUGGAGGAAUCAGAAUCUGUGGUCAAAAUUACGGAAAAUUUUUUCCGGCCGUUAAUGAAAUUGUCAGACGAUAAAAUAAAAACAUGUCUCGAAAUCCUGAAAAGCCAAGGUCUGACAGAAU